AUAAAUAAGGGGAGAUACCAUGAUCACAAAGGUAGUUUUCCCAGGGUGAGGCUUAUCCAUUGCACUCUGGAUGUGCUGACGCCCGUGAUUUCUCCAAAUGUGGGAAACUCAACUGCAUAAUUUGUGGUAGUGGGGGAAUGCAAUCGUGCUCUCCCCUG
ensembl:snRNA U1 U1 spliceosomal RNA